rnacentral:rRNA from 1 species
AUGCAAAGAACUUUGAAAAGAGAGUUAAAGAGUACCUGAAAUUGCUGAAAGGGAAGCGAAGGAAACCAGUGUUUGCCUGGUCAUAUUUCCCUGGCCGCUUGCGGCUUGGGCGCUGUGUCCGGCUUGUGUUGUGCUUGGUUGUCGCCCUUGGAAGAGCGCGGAGGGAGUUGACCUCCGUUGCUAGCAUUGGGCUUCGACUGAGCAGGACGAAAUGGUUUUCUUUACCCCGUCUUGAAACACGGACCAAGGAGUCUAACAUAUGUGCGAGUACAGGGGUGGCAAACCCCCGUGCGCAAUGAAAGUGACAGUGGUUGGAUAUUUGCACAAUCCGCCGGCCUCAAUCCCUCGGGAGAACGGUCUGAGUGUGAGCAUACAUGUUGGGACCCGAAAGAUGGUGAACUAUGCCUGAAUAGGGUGAAGCCAGGGGAAACUCUGGUGGAGGCUCGUAGCGAUUCUGACGUGCAAAUCGAUCGUCAAAUUUGGGUAUAGGGGCGAAAGACUAAUCGAACCAUCUAGUAGCUGGUUCCCUCCGAAAUUUCCCUCAGGAUAGCUGCGAUCGGAGUUCAAUUUUAUCA